CCUACGGGGGGCAGCAGUGAGGAAUAUUGGUCAAUGGACGAGAGUCUGAACCAGCCAAGUAGCGUGAAGGAUGACUGCCCUAUGGGUUGUAAACUUCUUUUAUAUGGGAAUAAAAUGUUCCACGUGUGGGAUUUUGUAUGUACCAUAUGAAUAAGGAUCGGCUAACUCCGUGCCAGCAGCCGCGGUAAUACGGAGGAUCCGAGCGUUAUCCGGAUUUAUUGGGUUUAAAGGGAGCGUAGGUGGAUUGUUAAGUCAGUUGUGAAAGUUUGCGGCUCAACCGUAAAAUUGCAGUUGAAACUGGCAGUCUUGAGUACAGUAGAGGAUGGCGGAAUGCGUGGUGUAGCGGUGAAAUGCUUAGAUAUCACGAAGAACUCCGAUUGCGAAGGCAGUUCACUGGACUGCAACUGACACUGAGGCUCGAAAGUGUGGGUAUCAAACAGGAUUAGAUACCCUUGUAGUC
rnacentral:rRNA from 1 species